AACAAGAGAAAAAAGCCAAGAUGAACCACUACUGAUUCUAUUAAUUACAUUAUUCAGUUUUUUUGUGAGCUGUGAGUGUAUUACGAGAUGUUAAGCUGACAGUAUCGUCAAUAUAUUGAUUUUGCUGUUAUUCUAUGAAGAUAUAGGACAUCGAUUUAGACAGCAUGUACAUGAUUCUAUGACUGAUACAGGGCAAAUAAGGUAUCGUGUGGAUAGUCAGAAACCAUUCCUUAAAU